AGAUGAGAUUUCCCAUUUCCUUCGGGAAAGUAAGACCCCUCAGAGAUGAUGAGGUAGAUAGGAUGGAAGUGGAAGUGCCGUGAGGCAUGGAGCGGACCAUUACUAAUCGGUCGAGGACUUAACCAAG
rnacentral:rRNA from 1 species